ACAUCUGAGCCAUCUCUCCAGCCCCCAAAAUAAAAUCUUAAAAGAAUAUUCUCGGGCUGGAGAGAUGGCUCAGUGGU
rnacentral:pre_miRNA from 1 species